rnacentral:tRNA from 1 species
UGUGUGGCUUAAUGGUAGAGCACUUGCCUAGCAUGCACCAGGUCCUGGGUUUGAUCCCCAGCGCA